UCAAAAAUAAGGUUACGUUAAGUUUAUUAGAGGACAUCCCUUAAUUACAAAUGACAUCCGUAUCAUACAUGCAACUCAUAACAAAAUUGAUGCUACUAUACUUUCUUCUAUGACUGAGAAAUCCCAAGUCCAAACAACAUUAACAGUACUCUAAAACAGCACUUGCUAUAAUUUGAAAGUACAUAUCGGAACACAACAAAAUUGCAAUCUUUCAAUAUCAGGAAGACGAAAGCACUCUUAAAGCUUGGAAAUAACAAAAUAGAAUGUAGCAGGAGACAGGUAGCAAGAUGUAAUUGACUUGCAUCAUGCUGUUUAAUACUGACCAUUCAUCUAUGCUUCGGAAACUUGAACAUCCCUCACUUCAAUUUUAAGAGAGAGUUCACCAUAUGAAGCAACACAUAAACAACAAGAAUUAAAAAAAAAAACUGAGAAGUGAACUUCUGAGGAAACAUUUCCACAAGACGGACGGAAUUUUGAUAAUUAAAUGUUGCAAUCCAACUAUCAAGCAAACUAGAUAAAAAAAACCAGUUUACUUAAAUCACUAAAGGACUUUGGAUUGAUAUCAUUCUAUGCUUUCCUUGACACGUCCAUCGGACAUUAAUAGGUCAAUGCACGCAACGCCUCAGAAAGCAAUAUAUAUUACCAAUUCAAAUUUACUAGAGUCACAGCUUAUGUGUAUUCAUUACAACAACAUACCACAUGUAAUACCACCUACAACAAUCUUGAAUUGCAACCACCAUACACCAAUACAAAGGUAACAAACUAGAAGCACUUACCAAAGAUCAUACUACUAAUUUGGUAUUUAUCAAAUACUGAUCAUAAAACCCUAAACAGCACUUGCUAUAAUCUGAAAGUAAAUAUCAGAACAACUAAACUGCAUUCAUUCAAUCUCAUGAAGAAAGAAUUUUCCUAAAGCUUGGAAAUGACAAAAUAGGAUGUAGCAGGAGACAGGUAGCAAAAUGCAAUUGAAAUACACCAUGCUGUUUGAUACUGACUAUUCAUUUAUGCUUCGGAAACUUGAACAUCCCUCACUUAAAGUUUAAGAGAGAGUUCACCAUAUGAAGCAACACACAAUUAUUAAGAACAAAAACUAAAGUCACUUCUAAGGGAACAGUUACACAAGACACAGACGAAUUCUGAUCAUGUUGCAAUCCAACUAUCAAGCAAACUAGACAAGAAAACAGUUCACUUAACUCACUGUAGGACUUCGGAUUGACAUCAUUAUAUGCUUUCCUUGACACAUCCAUCGAAUAUUCAUAGGUCAAUGCACGCAACGCCUCAGAAAGCAAUA
rnacentral:lncRNA from 1 species